rnacentral:rRNA from 2 species
CAAUCUAUACUGUGAAACUGCGAAUGGCUCAUUAAAUCAGUUAUCGUUUAUUUGAUAGUACCUUACUACAUGGAUACCUGUGGUAAUUCUAGAGCUAAUACAUGCUAAAAACCCCGACUUCGGGAGGGGUGUAUUUAUUAGAUAAAAAACCAAUGCCCCUCGGGGCUCCUUGGUGAAUCAUAAUAACUUAACGAAUCGCAUGGCCUUGCGCCGGCGAUGGUUCAUUCAAAUUUCUGCCCUAUCAACUUUCGAUGGUAGGAUAGUGGCCUACCAUGGUGGCAACGGGUAACGGGGAAUUAGGGUUCGAUUCCGGAGAGGGAGCCUGAGAAACGGCUACCACAUCCAAGGAAGGCAGCAGGCGCGCAAAUUACCCAAUCCCGACACGGGGAGGUAGUGACAAUAAAUACUGAUACGGGGCUCUUUUGGGUCUCGUAAUUGGAAUGAGUACAAUCUAAAUCCCUUAACGAGGAACAAUUGGAGGGCAAGUCUGGUGCCAGCAGCCGCGGUAAUUCCAGCUCCAAUAGCGUAUAUUAAAGUUGUUGCAGUUAAAAAGCUCGUAGUUGAACCUUGGGUCUGGCUGGCCGGUCCGCCUCACCGCGAGUACUGGUCCGGCUGGACCUUUCCUUCUGGGGAAUCCCAUGGCCUUCACUGGCUGUGGGUGGAACCAGGACUUUUACUGUGAAAAAAUUAGAGUGUUCAAAGCAGGCCUUUGCUCGAAUACAUUAGCAUGGAAUAAUAGAAUAGGACGUGCGGUUCUAUUUUGUUGGUUUCUAGGACCGCCGUAAUGAUUAAUAGGGAUAGUCGGGGGCGUCAGUAUUCAGCUGUCAGAGGUGAAAUUCUUGGAUUUGCUGAAGACUAACUACUGCGAAAGCAUUCGCCAAGGAUGUUUUCAUUAAUCAGGGAACGAAAGUUAGGGGAUCGAAGACGAUCAGAUACCGUCGUAGUCUUAACCAUAAACUAUGCCGACUAGGGAUCGGGCGGCGUUUCUAUGAUGACCCGCUCGGCACCUUACGAGAAAUCAAAGU